UACGGAGGAUCCGAGCGUUAUCCGGAAUUAUUGGGUUUAAAGGGUGCGCAGGCGGGGAUCUAAGUCAGGGGUGAAAGACGGUGGCUCAACCAUCGCAGUGCCUUUGAUACUGGAUUCCUUGAAUAUACCUGAGGUAGGCGGAAUGUGGCAAGUAGCGGUGAAAUGCAUAGAUAUGCCACAGAACACCGAUUGCGAAGGCAGCUUACCAAAGUAUGAUUGACGCUGAGGCACGAAAGCGUGGGGAUCGAACAGG
rnacentral:rRNA from 1 species